AUACCAUUCUCGGCCUUUUGGCUAAGAUCAAGUGUAGUAUCUGUUCUUAUCAGUUAAUAUCUGAUAUGUGGGCCAUGUGCCCACAAUGAUAUUAAAUUUAUUUUUUAUGGGGAAGGGUCCACCACACUAGCUUGCUAGUGGGGCCCUCGUGUGUACAAACUAAACAAUUUUGGAUUUGUUUGGACUCAGCUGAA
rfam:Triticum aestivum genome assembly, contig: Triticum_aestivum_CS42_TGACv1_scaffold_603131_7DL